UACGAAGGGGGCUAGCGUUGUUCGGAAUUACUGGGCGUGAAGCGCGCGCAGGCGGUUCUUCAAGUCAGUGGUGAAAGCCCGGAGCUCAACUCCGGAACUGCCAUUGAAACUGUAGAACUUGAGGAUGAGAGAGGUGAGUGGAAUUCCCAGUGUAGAGGUGAAAUUCGUAGAUAUUGGGAAGAACACCAGUGGCGAAGGCGGCUCACUGGCUCAUUUCUGACGCUCAGGCGCGACAGCGUGGGGAUCAAACAGG
rnacentral:rRNA from 1 species